AUCAAUAAGCGGAGGAAAAGAAACCAAUAGGGAUUGCCUCAGUAACGGCGAGUGAAGCGGCAACAGCUCAAAUUUGAAAUCUGGCCUCCUUUGGGGCCCGAGUUGUAAUUUGUAGAGGAUGCUUCGGCGUUGGCCCCGGCCUAAGUUCCUUGGAACAGGACGUCACAGAGGGUGAGAAUCCCGUAUGUGGCCGGUGUCCCUCGCCUUGUGAAGCUCCUUCGACGAGUCGAGUUGUUUGGGAAUGCAGCUCUAAAUGGGAGGUAAAUUUCUUCUAAAGCUAAAUACCGGCCAGAGACCGAUAGCGCACAAGUAGAGUGAUCGAAAGAUGAAAAGCACUUUGGAAAGAGAGUCAAAAAGUACGUGAAAUUGUUGAAAGGGAAGCGCUUGCAACCAGACCUGCCCGCGGUUGCUCAUCCAGGCUCCUGUCUGGUGCACUCUUCUGCGGUCAGGCCAGCAUCGGUUUGGGCGGUCGGACAAAGGCGGUGGGAAUGUGACUCCCCUCGGGGAGUGUUAUAGCCCGCCGUGCAAUGCGGCCAGCCCGGAUCGAGGUCCGCGCUUCGGCUAGGAUGCUGGCGUAAUGGUUGUAAGCGGCCCGUCUUGAAACACGGACCAAGGAGUCUAACAUCUGUGCGAGUGUUUGGGUGUUAAGCCCGGGCGCGCAAUGAAAGUGAACGGAGGCGGGAACCUUUGGGUGCACCGUCGACCGAUCCUGAUGUCUUCGGAUGGAUUUGAGUAAGAGCAUAGCUGUUGGGACCCGAAAGAUGGUGAACUAUGCCUGAAUAGGGUGAAGCCAGAGGAAACUCUGGUGGAGGCUCGCAGCGGUUCUGACGUGCAAAUCGAUCGUCAAAUUUGGGCAUAGGGGCGAAAGACUAAUCGAACUAUCUAGUAGCUGGUUCCUGCCGAAGUUUCCCUCAGGAUAGCAGUAACGUAUUCAGUUUUAUGAGGUAAAGCGAAUGAUUAGAGGCCUGGGGGUUGAAACAACCUUCACCUAUUCUCAAACUUUAAAUAUGUAAGAAGUCC
rnacentral:rRNA from 1 species